GGAAAGUUCAGAGUCAAAGGGAAGUUCAUUGCAAGCAACUGGUAAUUCUCGAACUAUAGAUACCAGCACUAGUAUCGACUCCCAAACGAUGAGUAAAGGAAAAGCUGCUGGGGGAAGUAGUCACACAGACAAGCCUGAUGGAGGAAUUGCAGUUCACAACUCUGAAGAAGGAAAGUACGUUCACUCUGACAAUUGCUAUAAUCCCCUAUCAAACCUUGUAUACGGUGGCUUAUGCAUUAUUGGGGCUCUCUUUUUCCAUUUUGGGCUAGGAAUAAAAAUUAGAAUAUGAUUGUAAAGGUGUGAAAUUUGUUUAUAUACAUGGGAAUUGGAAGAAGCGAAAUUUGUUAUUAAUGUUGUGAGACCAGAGCAUACAUUGCUAUGU